rnacentral:rRNA from 1 species
AUUGAACGCUGGCGGCAUGCCUUACACAUGCAAGUCGAACGGCAGCACGGGUGCUUGCACCUGGUGGCGAGUGGCGAACGGGUGAGUAUUACAUCGGAACGUACCUUAUCGUGGGGGAUAACGCAGCGAAAGCUGUGCUAAUACCGCAUACGCCCUGAGGGGGAAAGCGGGGGAUCGCAAGACCUCGCGCGAUUAGAGCGGCCGAUGCCUGAUUAGCUUGUUGGUGGGGUAAGAGCCCACCAAGGCGACGAUCAGUAGCUGGUCUGAGAGGACGAUCAGCCACACUGGGACUGAGACACGGCCCAGACUCCUACGGGAGGCAGCAGUGGGGAAUUUUGGACAAUGGGGGCAACCCUGAUCCAGCAAUGCCGCGUGAGUGAAGAAGGCCUUCGGGUUGUAAAGCUCUUUUGUCAGGGAAGAAACACCGGCUCUAACACAGUCCGGGAAUGACGGUACCUGAAGAAUAAGCACCGGCUAACUACGUGCCAGCAGCCGCGGUAA